rnacentral:rRNA from 1 species
AGAGUUUGAUCCUGGCUCAGGACGAACGCUGGCGGCGUGCUUAACACAUGCAAGUCGAACGAUGAUGCCCAGCUUGCUGGGUGGAUUAGUGGCGAACGGGUGAGUAACACGUGAGUAACCUGCCCCUGACUCUGGGAUAAGCGUUGGAAACGACGUCUAAUACUGGAUAUGAUCACUGGCCGCAUGGUCUGGUGGUGGAAAGAUUUUUGGUUGGGGAUGGACUCGCGGCCUAUCAGCUUGUUGGUGAGGUAAUGGCUCACCAAGGCGACGACGGGUAGCCGGCCUGAGAGGGUGACCGGCCACACUGGGACUGAGACACGGCCCAGACUCCUACGGGAGGCAGCAGUGGGGAAUAUUGCACAAUGGGCGAAAGCCUGAUGCAGCAACGCCGCGUGAGGGAUGACGGCCUUCGGGUUGUAAACCUCUUUUAGUAGGGAAGAAGCGAAAGUGACGGUACCUGCAGAAAAGCACCGGCUAACUACGUG